UAUGCACUGGCGCUCUUCUAAACUAUUAUUAGAAUGUCAGGAGAGAAGAUACUUUAUUUUCUCGGAAAAAAUAUGAUUCACUUGUGUAGAAAAUAAAACAAAUGAGAGUGGCAGACAAAUUUGCUAAACGUCAAAUAAUUUUCGAAGAACAAUAAGCUGAAAAGAAUUUCAUAGCGGUGGAAAAUCUCAGGUGAACUAAGUGAGGGAAAAAAUAUUCCAACGAAAUGUCGCUUACGCAACUGGAAUGUAACGAUCCGUUCAAUAAAUAACUCUAUCACCAAAGUAACAUAUGAAAGCAAAAUAAAUGAAACGAAUAUUGACCGCUGUAAUAUCGACCGAUUUUCUACGUAAACAUAAAGGCCUUGGAAAGCAUGGAUCCGAGGUUUGUAAAAAGCACGUUCAGCAAGUCAAGGGUAAUUGGAGAACUUCCUGCCGUGAUACACAUACUUAAAAUUUAAAUGUCUCCAAUCAAAAUAAAGCAAUGCUAUCAAAAUGAAAAAUUAACAUGGAUACGUUUUCGACUAGCAAAUAUUAUUCUAUUCAUUCCUCUCA